CGAGCUAGGCAGCCGUGGAGAGGCGGGGGAGCCUGAACGCGGGUUUCUGGGUGCCAGGAGACACCCGGGAAGGCUGCCUACAGCGAACGGCGCUACCACGUGCCGCAAAAGGCGGGACUGUGGAAGCGGUGGAGAGCCGCGAACCGAAACCUCAGCCGAGCCGUUGAGACGUGUGACCGGGCACCUGCAAGGCCAGGCCCCGUGCCCAGCACCGGGGACCGAGGCGCAGGCCCCUCGGGUCGGAGCCUGGCGGACGACCGACUGACCGUCACACGAGAGGCAGCGGCUGGUCUCCUCCGGCGUCUGGCCGGGGCCGGCGGUCAGGCGGGCGGCCACCCUGCAGGCUUGUGCGUGGAUGGAGUGGGGGCAAGACCCACGAGCAUGUGGCUCAGGCUAGUCAACAUCGUCUCCAGGUGGGAGGCACGUGGGGAGCGGUGAGGGAGCCGCGAACUCCUUACCUCGGUGACUGCGUGGAAGUCACAUCUUUCCUCUGAGACCUUUGACCUCCCUCCAAACUCCCAAAGUCCCCCUGGCAGCCUCUGCCGGCCCCGUGCGCCCCAGGAAGGCGGGCCCCAGGCUGGGUCAAGGGGACAGCAAGUCCCACCCUGUGUCUUCUGAGCCCCACUGCCUCCUGGCCGGCGGGGUGUCCAGACCUUCACCCGGCAAAUGGCAAACUCCUCCGAGGUCUUUCGGGACCAAAGACAAAGGCAGCUGCCCUAGAACUUUCUUCAGGAAAGAAAAGAAAGAGAAAGUUACAGUUGUUUUUUUUUCCUGGUUCAGAGUUCUGACGUGCUUCUCCUUGUUUUCCUUCGGACUUGGGGGCAGCAGAAAUGACACACUGCCUCUCCGUAAUCGGUGGGCCGCGAUAAAUUUACUGAGAACUUUUUAAUAAAUAAACCGCAGCAUGAACCCCUGUGCCCCGACAGCCCCGCCGGCUCUCAUAGGGGGAGUUUGGGAGUUUUUGUGGAGCAAUACGACGUUCUCAUGAGAAUUUUAUUAGAAACCAGAGAUUUGAAAUGCAUCAAGCAGGAAAUUUACGAGGCUGCCUGGGAACCACCCUUUAGCUUUGUCCUUCGGGUGAAUUUACUUCUCCCGGCGCGGUGAUUUACUUGGGAAGUUUCUUCAGUCCUGAACAGUGUGCUGAGGUUCUCGGCCAAUUCAAGGCAGCUCAUUGAUUUCUCCUUCCGUGUUUAUCCUUAAAAGCAGAGAGACACAGUCGCGGAGAGCGCCUGUAAGAAAGCCCCCGAGUCUGUGGGAAACACUUGGCACCCACCGGAAACGUGGCCAACAGGCCCUUCCUCACGGCGAGGGGUAAACAGGGCCUCGUGGAAAAAUAUUUUUUACAGCCACAUGCAAGCCUUUGUCUCCGAUGCUUCCACUUAAUCGUUUCUCCAAAUAAUCCCUUUUUGAUUGUGUUUUGUGAAGUACCCAGUUAAAACUUCACUCGCCCAGAAAAACUUGUUUAUCGUCGCGCAGCCCAACUUGGAAGGCGGCCCGGCCCCAGAAUAGCUGUUUGUGCCGGGGCCGCGGGCAGGAAGCGCCCUGAGCGAGGCUGCG